GACGUAGGGGGCGAGCGUUGUCCGGAUUUACUGGGCGUAAAGCGCGCGUAGGCGGUCUGUUAAGUCAGAAGUGAAAUCUCCAGGGCUCAACCCGGAAACUGCUUUUGAUACUGAUAGACUUGAGUGUCGGAGAGGUAACUGGAAUUCCUGGUGUAGCGGUGACAUGCAUUGAUAUCAGGAGGAACACCCAUGGCGAAGGCAGGUUACUGGCCGACAACUGACGCUGAGGCGCGAAAGCGUGGGUAGCAAACAGA
rnacentral:rRNA from 1 species